UAGGGAAUAUUGCACAAUGGAGGAAACUCUGAUGCAGCGACGCCGCGUGAGUGAUGAAGGACUUCGGUUCGUAAAGCUCUGUCGUAUGGGAAUAAGAAAGUGAAUGUACCAUGCAAGAAAGGAUCGGCUAACUUCGUGCCAGCAGCCGCGGUAAGACGAGGGAUCCUAGCGUUGUUCGGAAUCAUUGGGCGUAAAGCGGAUGUAGGUGGCUUUGUAAGUCAGGUGUGAAAGCCCCGGGCUCAACCCGGGAAGUGCAUUUGAUACUGCGAAGCUUGAGUGCUAGAGAGGUUACUAGAAUACCUGGUGUAGUGGUGAAAUACGUAGAUAUCAGGUGGAAUACCGGAGGCGAAGGCGGGUAACCAGCUAGACACUGACACUCAGAUCCGAAAGUGUGGGGAUCAAACAGG
rnacentral:rRNA from 1 species